rnacentral:snRNA from 1 species
AGUGUUUCUCCUUUCUCUGAGUU